AAGGGGCUACAAGGGAUCCAUGGAAAGAGCAUUCCCAGAAGCGGGGCCAGGGCAGUGCGCACAGUGAGGAGAGCAGGUGUGUGUGAGGGGUUCAUCAGGAACUAGAGGACCAACCAACAAGGUCAUUUACCUGUCACCACUGCUGCAUUCACUGGUUGAAACAAAACGUUCAAAGCCCCCUCGGAAGCCCAUCCACAGGUGUGUGACUGUGAACCGCAUCGUAAUCUCCUAGAAAGCAAGAACAUCAGGCUUACAUUUUCCACUUGCCUCUCACGGCUCAGAGCUCUGCAGUAUAUACAGCCCUGCCGCGGAGACAUUUGGCAAUGUCUGGAGACACUUUUGGAGUCACAAAUCAGGGGAGAGAUGCUGCUGGUACAUAGUAGGUGAGGAAACUGGGCCCUGAGACAUUAACUUGCCCAAAAGAUCACAGUGGGCAACAUUCUAGAGCACAGUGGAAGCCGACAGGAAUGUCAGUGAAGAUGGAAAACAGAACGUGGAGAGAGAUGUAGCUUACUAGAGCCCUGUGGCUUCAAUCCCCACCAGGAAUGUCGUUUAAGAGGAAGGUGAUCUAGCACAAAUUCACAUUUGCUUGAGGAAGAAUACAAAUGAAAUUCAUGAAACAAAAAAGAAAAGCAGGGCUUACGGAAACAACAAGAGCUUCGGUAGCCCCAGGUUAGUGAUAGUAGGCACCAUGUCACCUCUAGGCCUGAAGUGGUCCCAGAAAGGACAUCAGAAAUGAGACACAAGAACAGCACAGAAAGGUCGUGUGCAGGAGCGAAGCAGCCUCGGGGAGCGGGCGGGGCUGGGGAAUCCCUGGCCUCCCUCCUUUCCUUCUGGCUGAUCUUCUGCAGAAGACCUCACAAAAGGGAGCUGAGGGGCCAGGAAGCCUGUGGAUGCCCUGAAGAAGAAUGAGUAGAUCUGAAAGGGCAGUAGAACAGAACCAGAAUCCAGUGCAAAGGCCCUGGGGCAGGAGUUCGCAGGAGAAGCGGGGAGAAGGAACCAGCCUAUGAUCCAGGAAUGCAGUGAACAAGAUUUGGGAAGUUGACAGAGAAUAUGAGGCCUCCUCUCCAAACAGAAACUCCAGGACGCUUGGUUGAGUCACUGACACAUGCACAGUGCUGAGCAUAGUACCAGACACCAGAGUCUGUGUUCCAGAAAUGGAAGAAUAGGUGAGUAAUGAAAGUCUAAGUAAGCAAAUUCUUCGCAAAUGGGGAAAAGAUUGAAUGUAUAGGGCUGCAUAUAUUAGAAGCCCCCUGGAAUCUCUGCAUCCAGAAGAUUGCAGUCACCUUUGAAGCACUCACCACCAGAGUCUACUCGCACACUCUCCUGUGGCAGCCGUUCACCUCGGCCCUUUUCCUAGGGAUUUGCCUUCAAGUCCCAGAAUGGGCCUCAGGGUCUUUGCAUUCGCCUUUCUAUGAGUCUGAAACACCACCCACCCCCUCACCUGUGGGCAGGCAAAGCACCUCCUGUGUUCAUGUCAUCUCCUGUAUCAAGCCCUUCCUGAUGACCAACUUGCAGCCGGGUGCCCUCUAUCCAUGCCUCCAUGGCCGCCUAUGAUAAUGUCCCCCAUAUCAUUUACCAUUCUGCUCAUGAAUUUGGCUUCAUUCAUCUCGCAACAACCCCAGAGUAUUAAGCCACUCGAGGGUGGAAGCUGGUGCUUUUACCUCCGCACCUCUCAUGCCCGACAGAGUCCAUGGCAGAAGGCCGGCUCUCAGAUUUUAGCUGCAUUCCUGAAUGAAGGAAUCAAUAAAAGCCACACAGCAUUAAGUGGCAGACUCUAGUAAUUUAAUUCCUGGUCCUGGGCUCUUUGAUAUAAAAUAACUCUUCUAUUUUUAAUACACCCCACAUUCCUGAAGAUGACACUACUGCAAAAUUAAAGAAAUGUGAUGAACAGCUUACAACCUGCAACACACUCGGCAGCUCAAAAUGACAACAUUAAUUUAAUGAACUUAAACACUGGUGAACUUUUUAACACAUCCAGAGUUAUUUACACUGGGAAAUGCAUACUUAAGACUGCCUGCCAAAGAGACUCAAAUAGAGAUGACACAUAUAUCUUUCACAUGUUAAUUUGCAUUUGAAACUUUGAGCUUUGAUACAGGUUGGCUUUUCUCUUUUGGAAUGAAGAAAUCAAGAGACUAAUUUUUUACCCAUCCAUCCAUCUAUCCAUCUAUCCAUCCAUCCAGCCACAUCUUUCCUAAGUGACAGGACAUAUCACACACCAACCGUGUGCAAAGCACUCUACCUAAAGAUCAGCGCUAACAGAGGAAUAAGCAGAGGCCUCCAGGAGCAAAGAGUGAAAAGUCUCCCAAGGAUUCAAGUACGGGGGAAGUGGGUGGAGCUUUCACCGUAGAAUCUUUCCUGGAGAAAAAGCAAAGAGUGGGACAACAAUGAAGGCAUUAAAAAUAACUGUCAAGUUGAAGAAAAAGAUAAAGCCCAUUCUGGGAAAAAUAACCAUUUCCCCAACCCAGGGUUCCAGUUUGGACAAGACAUUAUACAGUCAUCCUAGAUACAGUGGGCAGAGUAUGACAGGAAGAGUGAAGAAACCCUGAGGCCUCCCCAGAAGCCAAGCAGAUGCCGGUGCCAUGCCUGUAUAGCCUACACAACCGCCGCUGGCUGUGAAUCCAGUCCAAGUGCGUGCAAAUUAUGCCUUUGCUUUAUAUUUACUGAGCAACAACUAUGUGCCGCAACAGAUUUUUUUAAUACUCUAUUUUAUUUGCAAUCACAGAUCUGAAGUUUAUCAAUACAUGAUCUCCUCAAAAACGAAAGGAAUAAAACAAGUAUCUGCAAUUUGCUGAGAACUUAAUAUGUGUCAGUUGCCUGCAAAACUCAUCAUUCUUUAGACUUUCAAAUACAUCUGUGAGGACGGUAUUGUUGUUUCCACUUACACAUGAGAAGGCAAGAGACAAGCCCACGGUCACCCAGCUGGACCGAGGGAAGGAAUUGCCUCAAAGCCUGAAGGAGCCGAGGGAUUUCACCCAGGGAACAGAACAAGCGAAGAAGCCAAGAAAAUAUGCAAUCCAAGGGUCUCUUUCUGAUGACUACCUGUCACUGAAGCAUCUGGAAUGCAAUACAGGGACUGUUUGGAGCAAAGGUGUGGACCAGAGGGAAAACAGCCUCCUUUCUAUUUGUCAGAGAGCCAUCAGAGCAGCAAGAGCUAUUAGGAAGAAGACUGGUAUUUUGCCAAAGACUAAGGAUUCGGAGAUGACUACGGAAAGGAAAACUAAGCUCCAUGAGAAGAGGGGACUUGCCCAUGUGGCUCAGGGCUCUAUGCCCAGUGCCCUAGACAGUGCCUGACUGUGUGUGCGGAAUGAAUGAAUAACCUUGGUGAUCCACCCAAUGGCACUGGCGCUCAGUGACCUCAUCUGAAAUGGUGCAAUGGAGAGGGUUCCCAGCUGGAAUAAGGAUUUUAUGAAAAUGCAUGUUUGUUGAAUAACACAAAGGAGAAUAUUAUCUAAUGUGGCUUGGGGUCAAUAUCAAGCAGUAAUAUUGUUUUAGUAUUAAUUAGAGCCGUGUCAUUGCAAGAGCUGGUAAGAAUACUGGUCUUGUUUCCAACUGAUGAAAACACUCAUACAGAUUAGGGUUUUUAUGAGUAAAUUUCAGAUCUUGAAAUCAGUGCUGUGAUCCACUCUCAUAGGG
rnacentral:lncRNA from 1 species